rnacentral:rRNA from 1 species
AUUGAACGCUGGCGGCAUGCCUUACACAUGCAAGUCGAACGGCAGCACGGGUGCUUGCACCUGGUGGCGAGUGGCGAACGGGUGAGUAAUAUAUCGGAACGUACCUUAUCGUGGGGGAUAACGCAGCGAAAGCUGCGCUAAUACCGCAUACGCCCUGAGGCGGAAAGCGGGGGACCGUAAGGCCUCGCGCGAUUAGAGCGGCCGAUAUCUGAUUAGCUUGUUGGUGGGGUAAAGCCACCAAGGCGACGAUCAGUAGCUGGUCUGAGAGGACGAUCAGCCACACUGGGACUGAGACACGGCCCAGACUCCUACGGGAGGCAGCAGUGGGGAAUUUUGGACAAUGGGGGCAACCCUGAUCCAGCAAUGCCGCGUGAGUGAAGAAGGCCUU